rnacentral:lncRNA from 1 species
GAAAAAAUUAUCAGCAUGAAAUGGAUGGCUAUCAUGCAUGCCAUUUUCAUCCAAUUAGGAUUUGUAAAAUUAGAUGGUUUGCCUUAGAAACUAAGCAAUGGUUAUAAUUAUUAGCUAACAAAAAUUUAGAGGAUUUGACAAAAGGCCUAAUUAUGAAUGGCCUUUUACUUAGUCUGGUUUUUAAAGAUCAAUAUCUCACUAUUAAGUGUUGGAUUCUUGAUUAUGAC